rnacentral:misc_RNA from 1 species
AGGCCAUGGAGAAGAGCAGAGCUCUAAUCAAAGGGAAGUUGUUGGUGACAGCAAUUAUAUUUUUCUUGCUCAAUCUGUCUCUAUUCUUAAUUCAGGUAGCAUUUAAGAUACUGGUGGUUCAUGGUCGAUCCUUAGGAAUGGUUAGCAGGGUAUCAUAUGGGAUCAUUUGCUUCUUGUUGCUUUUUAUAUUGUUUCUGUUCGGACUUGUUAUCCAAACAGUGAU